CCUACGGUGAGCAGCAGUGAGGAAUAUUGGUCAAUGGACGAGAGUCUGAACCAGCCAAGUAGCGUGAAGGAUGAAUGCCCUAUGGGUUGUAAACUUCUUUUAUAAAGGAAUAAAACGAGGCACGUGUGCCUUUUUGCAUGUACUUUAUGAAUAAGGAUAGGCUAACUCCGUGCCAGCAGCCGCGGUAAUACAGAGGAUACGAGCGUUAGCCGGAUUUAUUGGGUUUAAAGUGAGCGUAGAUGGGUUGUUAAGUCAGUUGUGAAAGUUUGCGGCUCAACCGUAAAAGUGCAAUUGAUACUGGCAGUCUUGAGUACAGUUGAGGUAGGCUGAAUUCGUGGUGUAGCGGUGAAAUGCGUAGAUAUCACGAAGAACCCCGAUUGCGAAGGCAGCUUACUAAACUGUGACUGACAUUGAUGCUCGAAAGUGUGGGUAUCAAACAGGAUUAGAUACCCUUGUAGUC
rnacentral:rRNA from 1 species